UACGAACUGUGCGAACGUUAUUCGGAAUCACUGGGCUUACAGGGUGCGUAGGCGGCUUUUCAGGUCAGGUGUGAAAGCCCCCGGCUCAACCGGGGAACUGCGCUUGAAACCGAAAAGCUCGAGCCAGCUAGAGGUACACGGAACUUCCAGUGGAGCGGUGAAAUGUGUUGAUAUUGGAAGGAACACCGGAGGCGAAAGACGGUGAUACUGGGGCUGGUCGUGACGCUGGAGGCACGGAAAGCCAGG
rnacentral:rRNA from 1 species